rnacentral:sRNA from 1 species
AUCAGGAAGCACAGUGAUAGACAAGCCCACAUAGAAGAGUAAAUAUCAGGAUUGUGCAAAAACCAGGUGAGAAAAAUAAUACAUUCAGAUAUUAAUAAGAUGGAAAAGAGGAAUGUGACCAAUAUGUUAACCAGUUGUGGGAUAUAGUCAAGACAUUCAACCUGAGAACUCACAGGGCAGAAAAGGGAGUUGAGAUAAAUCACGAGGGAUAAAUAGAACAUUUGAUGAAAUUAUAGCAGAAGAUUUUGCAAAUCUGAGAAUGGAUUAGACAUCCCAACACAAGAAUAAAAGACAUUUAGAAUCUCAAACAGACAUGAACAUGAACAGACCCCAAAGGUGUCUUAGGUAAGAUUCCAAAAAAUUCAAAGGAAAGAAAUAAUACUAAAAAUCAUAUAAGAAAACUGAGGAGUCAUGUACAAAGGCAAGGUUAUCAAAAUAACAUCCGACAUUCCAUCAGCAACCUUAGAAGCUAGACUAACAUUAUGACAUAUUUCAGGUUCUAACUUGAAAAGCUGUGAACAAAGAUUUCUCCACACAGCAAAGCUAUCUUUCAAGAUUGAUGGAGAAAUAAAAGUUAUUUUAAGACACAUGUGAAUUAAAGUAAUUCAUGGCCACUACUCUGGAAAAUUCUCAAAGGAAUGCCACACAGUAGGAACAGGGUAAACAACUUUCUACAUGGGAAGAAUCCAUCCAGGCAUCAUUAGUCAAGAACAUGUUCUUCUUUGGCAGAGAAUACAGAUUCAAUAUCCAGAAAAGUGACAAAAUCAAACCUCACAGGUCUAUUCUGUUGAAAGAAUGGAAGGAUUAAACUGCCUGACAGGUUCUCACUGUGUAACCCAG